rnacentral:lncRNA from 1 species
UGUGCUUGCUUGCUGGCUGGACCAGUCAUGUGCCAUGCACCUUCUUGCCUGCCUUCUUGUUGAAUGAUCAGUCAUGUGCAAGGCACACCUGCUUGAAGUUUUUCUUUAUGGGAGGGAAAGGUCAGCUGCUCGCUGCUGGAAGUAAUGAAACAGCUCACCACCUGUCUCCUCUCAGCCUUGCCUUGUGUUUUGUGAAACCCUCACCUGA